UACAGGGGGGGCAAGCGUUGUUCGGAAUUACUGGGCGUAAAGGGCUCGUAGGUGGCCAACUAAGUCAGACGUGAAAUCCCUCGGCUUAACCGGGGAACUGCGUCUGAUACUGGAUGGCUAGAGAUUGGGAGAGGGAUGCGGAAUUCCAGGUGUAGCGGUGAAAUGCGUAGAUAUCUGGAGGAACACCGGUGGCGAAGGCGGCAUCCUGGACCAACACUGACGCUGAGGAGCGAAAGCCAGGGGAGCAAACGGG
rnacentral:rRNA from 1 species